AGUACGUUAGCCUAAUGGGUAAGGUACCGUAAUACGGAUGCGGGGAUUACAAGUUCAAAUCUUGUACGUACUU
rnacentral:tRNA from 1 species